rnacentral:rRNA from 1 species
UACAGAGGUCUCAAGCGUUGUUCGGAUUCAUUGGGCGUAAAGGGUGCGUAGGUGGUGCUGUAAGUCAGGUGUGAAAUCUCGGGGCUCAACCCCGAAACUGCACUCGAUACUGCUUUGCUUGAGGACUGGAGAGGAGAUUGGAAUUCACGGUGUAGCAGUGAAAUGCGUAGAUAUCGUGAGGAAGACCAGUGGCGAAGGCGGAUCUCUGGACAGUUCCUGACGCUGAGGCGCGAAGGCCAGGGGAGCAAACGGG